rnacentral:rRNA from 1 species
UACGUAGGGGGCAAGCGUUGUCCGGAUUUAUUGGGCGUAAAGAGCGUGUAGGCGGUUUGGUAGGUCCGCUGUGAAAACUCGAGGCUCAACCUCGAGACGCCGGUGGAAACCAUCAGACUAGAGUCCGGAAGAGGAGAGUGGAAUUCCUGGUGUAGCGGUGAAAUGCGCAGAUAUCAGGAAGAACACCCGUGGCUAAGGCGGCUCUCUGGGCCGAUACUGACGCUGAGGCAGCGAAAGCGUGGGGAGCGAACAGG